AAGUCGUAACAAGGUUUCCGUAGGUGAACCUGCGGAAGGAUCAUUAACAAAUUCUAAUAUUAACCACCUGUGAACGUAUUAGUUGGGUGUGCGUGACUCACGGUCAAGCCUACUCGACAAAUUAACCUAUUUAAAUGUCUAUUUUAAAAAUAAAAAUAAAACAACUUUUAACAAUGGAUCUCUUGGCUCUU
rnacentral:misc_RNA from 1 species